AUGGGGAAGGAAGGACCGAGUGAGCUUCCACGCCGGCCGGCGGAGCUCCAGAUCCGCGCCCGGGCGGGCGCGAGCGCGCGGAGCCCCGGCCGAGAGGCCGCUCAGUCUGCCCUGGGGGAGGGAGCCUCGCCGAGCCGUUCCCGGCUUCUAGCGUUCGCGCCCGGGAAGGAAGGAAGGAAGGAAGGAGCAGGCCGGCUGCGGGGGUGUGGGAGUGUGGGAGACGUGACGGGGAGCCUGACCGGCCUCAGCUCCGCUCUCGCCUGCCUUCCCCGCUCGGACCUAGGAGAGCCGGGGCCUCCCGGCAGAGGGCUCCGGACCCGCCCGGGCGUGUGUACAAACCGCCAAGGCCUCCCGCGAGCGAGCGAGCGAGCGAGCGAGCGAGCGAGCGAGCGAGCGAGGAGAGAGCUCUGUCCGAGGGGGAAGGGAAGCGCCCCGUGCUCGGGCCGCAUUCCCACGCUGUGUGUGUGCUUGGCCGCCCAGACUCAGCGAGCGCGGCACGGAGGGGAAUCGGGGUCCCAGGGCCCGCCCGCCCGCCCGCCUGCCCGCCUGCCCCUGGCUCGGGGAGAGGCGGCUCCACCGCCAGCCAGCCAGCCAGCCAGCCAGCCAGCCAGCCAGCCAGCCAGCGUGUUUUCCCUCCGUGUGUGUGUGCCGAGAAAGCGGCCGCCAGACUGGGCUUCUCCGGAGCUCUCCUCCAGAGCAGAGACGUGUGUGUGGAUGUGGUGUGGGGGGCCUUCCUUCCGAGCGAGCCUGGAUGGAUGGGGAAGGAAGGAAGGACCGAGUGAGCUUCCACGCCGGCCGGCGGAGCUCCAGAUCCGCGCCCGGGCGGGCGCGAGAGCGCGGAGCCCCGGCCGAGAGGCCGCCGCUCUGCCCUGGGGGAGCCUCGCCGAGCCGUUCCCGGCUUCUAGCGUUCGCGCCCGGGCGGGAGGGAGGGAAGGAAGGAAAGAAGGAAGGAAGGAAGGAAGGAAGGAAGGAAGGAAGGUAGGAAGGAGCAGGCUGGCUGCGGGAGUGUGGGAGUGUGGGAGACGUGACUGGGAGCCUGACGGGCCUCAGCUCCGCUCUGGCCUGCCUUCCCCUCGGACCCAGGAGCAUUCGAGAACGACAUGA
ensembl:lncRNA